GACGUAGGGGGCCAGCGUUGCUCGGAAUUACUGGGUGUAAAGGGUUCGUAGGCGGUGUGGCAAGUCGGGAGUGAAAUCGUCUGGGCUCAACCCAGAGUCUGCUUCCGAAACUGCUGUGCUUGAGUGUGGGAGAGGCGCGUGGAAUUGCAGGUGUAGCGGUGAAAUGCGUAGAUAUCGCAGGAGCACCGUGGCGAAAGCGGCGCGCUGGACCACUACUGACGCUGAGGAACGAAAGCUAGGGGAGCAAACAGG
rnacentral:rRNA from 1 species